GUACCCCAUGAAUUUUGUAAUACAAACCACAAGCAUUACAGAUCGGAUUACCCGACUCGUCGCGGCGCCACAAAGGAGUAUUUGUGGUAGCACAGUUUUGGCAAAAAGUAACACUUGGUUCAUGAGGAGGAGAUGAGUCUUCAUGCUGGUUAUGACUAGAACGUCGUCUACUAGUGCCAUUGCUAGUUUCAGUCGUGGUAUCUGAAACGAUUUGAGGUUUCGAUUCUAGAGGUGUAGGCGAAGCUUUGGUUUCAGUGCUAGAGGGUACACUGCUAGGAUUGGGAGAUAGACUUUUGCGUCCGCUCUGAGACUUAGAAGCAUUGAGACUUCUUAUACGAUUAUUUAAAGCAGGACAACCAGUACAUGAAGCACUGCCACCCGUACCGUUACAGAAUCCAUCUCCAGCACAGGUUCCGUUUUUACAAACUUGCUGUAUCAGUGGAGAAAUGUCUUUUAAAUCUUCAGAUUUGACAGGACGGGCAUGCUUGCGAUGUUUUUGAUAUAAGCCACAAGCAUUGCACAAAAGGGAAUUAUCGGGGCCACGACGCCAUAAAGAAGUAGUAGUUUUGUGGCAGUUGGAACAACUUUGGCCAAAAGGAGCAGGUUUCGCAGCCAUUUUUUUGGUGAUAUGUAAAAAAGUUAAUUACGAACGAAUCAAAGUAAAUGCUAGCUUUAAGUGAGUUGUACUGAACGAAAUGAUCCAAGCUUAUUCACAAUGGAAAAUAAAAAAAAACAAGAAAACGAUUGUAUCGAUAUGUACAAAUUGCAAAAUUGAUUGAACCCAGAU